rnacentral:rRNA from 1 species
CGCGUAGGCGGGCCAUCAAGUCCGAGGUGAAAUCCUCCGGCUUAACCGGAGAAUUGCCUUGGAUACUGGUGGUCUUGAGGGAAGUAGGGGUCUGCGGAACUUCCGGUGGAGCGGUGAAAUGUGUUGAUAUCGGAAGGAACGCCGGUGGCGAAAGCGGCGGACUGGGCUUCUUCUGACGCUGAGGCGCGAAAGCUAGGGGAGCAAACGG